ensembl:lncRNA
GGUUAGGGUUAGGGUUGGGGAUAUGGUUGGAAUUCAAGUAACUGAUUAUUGUUGUGUGAGUAUGGAUGCUUAGGGUUAGGGUGAGUGUUACAGUUGGGUAUAUUUUUGCAUUUGAAAAACCUGAGUAUUUCAGGAUGGCUAUUACUGGUAGUUUUAAGUUUAGUUAGGGUUAGGGUUAUUGUUGGGGUAAGCAACAGUCUUGGACUUUGAGUACCUUUGUAUUGGAGUGUGGCUUUGAUGGUUAGUAUUAGAGUUAGUUUUACAGUUAGGGUUAGGGAUAGUGUAGGAAUUCAACUACCUGUGUAUUGGAUUGUGGAUAUGAUGGUUAGGAUUAGGGUUAGCUUUAGAGUUAGCUUUAGGGUUCAAAGUCAUAUACCUGAGUUUUUGAGUGUGGGUAUGAAUGUUAGUUUUGGGUUUCAUGUUAGGGUAAAAGUUACAAAUAGUCUUGGAAUUCAGUUAACAGACUAUUGAAGUGUGGGUAUUAUGGUUAGUGUUAGUAUCAGUGUUAGGGUUAAGGAUAAUGUAGGAAUUCAAAUACCUGAUUAUUUGAGUGUGAGCAUGAUGCUCAGGGUUAGCUUUCAUGUUAGGGAUGGGUAUCCUGUUGGAUUUCAAUAUGUGAGCAAUUCAGUGUGGCUAUGACAGGUAGUGAUAGGGUUAGGGUUAAGGUUAGGGUUAGGAAUAUCAGAAUUUCAGAAUCUGUGUAUUCAAGUGUGGUUUUGAAAGUUAGUGUUAACAUUAGUUUUUAGGAAUGGGGUUAGGGAUAGUGUAAAAUACAAGUACCUGGCUACUGGCUGUGGAUAUGAGGGUGAUAGUUAGGGUUAGGGCUAUGUUUAGGGUUAGGUUUAGGGUUCAAAUAUAUGUACCUCAGUUUUGGAAUGUAGGUUUGAUUGCUAAGGUUAGGGUUCAUGUUCUUGUAAGAGUUUCAGAUAGUACUGGCAUUCAGACACCUGACUAUUGGAGUGUGAUAAUCAUGCUUAGUGUUAGUGUUAGGUCUAGAGUUAGUGAUAGGUUUAGGGUUAGGGUUGAUGUUGGGGUAAGUGAUAGUCUUGGAAUUCAAGCCUGUAUGUGAGUAUGAUGCUUAGGGGUAGAUUUAGUUUUAGGGUGAGGUACACUGUUGGAUUUCAAGUACCUGAGCAUUGCAAUGUGGCUAUGAUGUGUAGUGUUAGAAUUAGGGUUAAGGUUAGGUUUGGGGUUCAGGAUAUGAUUGGAAUUCAAGUACCUGAUAUUGGAGUGUGAGUGUGAUGGGUAGGGUUAGGAUUAGUGUUAGGGUUAGGUAUAUGUUUAGAUUUGAAGGUCCUCAGUAAUGAAUUGUGGCUAUUACUGAUAGUGUUAGGUUUAGAGUUUUAGACAGGGUUAUGUUUGGGGUAAGUGAUAGUCUUACAAUUGAAGUACCUGUGAUUGGGGUGUGGGUUUGAUUGUUACUGUUCGCUUUAGUUUUAGGGUUAGGUUUAGGGAUUGUGUCAGAAUUCAACCACCUCUGUAGUGUAUUAAUGGAUAUGAUGGUUAGGGUUAGGGUUAGGUUCAGGGUUCAAAUUCAUAUACCUGAGGGUUUUUUUUUUUUUGGUUUGUUACCAGGGAUCAAACUCAGAACCUUGUGCUUGCAAGGCAGGUGGUGGAACCACUGAACUAAAUCCCCAGCCCCUACCUGAGUUUUGAAGUGUGGGUAUGAAUGUUAGUUUUUGAGUUCAAGUUAGUGUAAGGGUUACAGAUGGUGUUUAAAUUCAGGUCCCUGAUUAUUGAAGUGGGGGUGUUAUGGUUAGUGACAGGGUCAGUGUUAGGGUUAAGGUUGGUGUUGGAAUUCAACUACCUGGUUAUUUGAGUGUGAGCAUGAUAGUAAGGGUUAUGAUUAGUGUUAGGGAUUGGUAUCCUGUUGGAUUUCGAUACAGAGCAUUUUAGUGUGGCUGACUGCUAGCAUUUAGGGAUAGGGUUAGGUUUAGGGUUAUAUUAAAGGUUCAGUUCAGGAAUAGUGUCAGGAUUUAAAAAUCCUAGUAUUGUAGUAGUAUGGUUUUGAAAGUUAGUGUAAAUGUCAAUUUUAGCAUUAGGGUUAGGGAUAGUGUAGAAAUACAAAUACUUGGGUAUUAGAUUGUGGGUAUGAGGGUUACAGUUAGGGCUAUGUUUAAGAUUAUUUUUAGGGUUCAAAUUCAUGUGAAUUGGCUUUGGAGUUUGAGUGUGAUUGUUAGGCUUAGUAUUCCUGUUAUUGUAAGGGCUUUGAAUAGUGUUGGCAUUCACAUACCUACCUGUUGGAAUGUGGAAAUCAUGGUUUGUGUUAGGGUUAGGGUUAGGGUUAGGGUUUGGGAUAUGGAUUUUGAACAUGAUGGUUAGGGUCAGGCUUAGGUUUAUGGUUCAAAUUCAUUUACCUGAGUAUUUGAGUGUGGAUAUGAAUGUUAGUUUUUGAGGUCCUGUCAGGAUAAGGCUUACAAAUAGUGUUGGAAUUUAUAUACCUGCCUAUUGGAGUGUGUGAAUUAUGUUUAGUGUUAGGGUUAUGGUGAGGGUUAAGGUUAGAGAUACGGUAAAUUAGGUAUGAAUUACAACCAUAUACCUAAUUUUUGUAGUAUGAGUAUGAAUGUUAGUAACAGGUUUAGAGUUAGGGUGAGGUAAAAUGUUUGGUUUAAAUUACCUGAUCAUGCAAUGUGGCUAUGAUGCGUAGGGUUAGGGUUUUUAGGGUUAGGAAUAUGGUGGAAUAUCAAGUACCUGAUUAUUUUAGUGUAAAUAUGAACACUAGGGUUAGAUAUAGUGUUAUUGUGAGGUACAUUGUUCAAUUUCAAUUAGCUGAGCAUUACAAUGUUUCUAUGACAGGUAGUUUUAGGUUUUCCAUUCAGAUUAGGGUUGGGGUUAGCCUGAGGGUUAGGGAUAUGGUUGGAAUACAAUUACCUGAUUAUUGGAGUGUGAGUAUGAUGGUUAGGGAUUAGGAUUAGUUUAAAGGUUACAUAUAGUUUUGGAUUUGAAGAACCUGAAUAUUACCCUGUGUAUAUGAGUUGUAGAUUUAGUGUUAGCUUUUGGGUUAUGGUUGGUGUUGGGUUCAGGGUUAUGAAUUCAUAGUCUUGGAAUUUAAGUCCCUAUAUAAUGGUUAGGGUUAAGUUUAGUGUUAAGGUGAGGUACCAUGUGGGAUUUCAAGUACUUGAGCAUUGCAAUGUGGCUAUGUUGGGUAGAGUUAGGGUUAGGGUUUUGGUUAGAGUUAGGUUCAGGGUUACAUUCAGGGGUUCAAAUACAUACACCUGAGUUUUGAAGUGUGGGUAUGAAUGUUAGUUUUUGGGUUAGUGUUAGGGUAAGAAUUACAGAUAGUGUUGAAAUUCAGGUAACUAAUUAUUGAAGUGUGGCUAUUAUGGUUAGUGAUAGGGUCAGUGUUAAGGUUAAGGAUAGUUUUGGGAUUCAAGUACCUCAUUAUUUGAGUGUGACCAUGAUGGUAAGGGUUAUGAUUAGUGUUAGGGAUUUGUAUCCUGUUGGGUUUCAAUACAUAAGCAUUUCAGCAUGGUUAAGCCUGCUAGUGUUAGAGUUAGGGUUAGGGUUAGGGUCAGAUUUAGGGUUCCAUUUAGGAAUAGUGUCAGAAUUUAAGCAUCUCUGUGUUGAUUUGAAAGUUAUUGUUAAUGUUAGUUUUAGGAUUUUGGUUAGGGAUAGUGUAGAAAUACAAGUACCUGGGUAUUGGAUUGUGGGUAUGAGGGUUAGAGUUAGGGUUAGGGUUAAGUUUAGAGUUCAAAUUCAUCUACCUGAGUUUUGAGUGUGGUUUUGAUUGUUAGUUUUUGGGUUAGUGUUAGGGUAAGGGUUACAGGUAGUGUCAUAAUGCAGGCACCUGACUAUUGGAGUGUGUGAAAUAUGUUUAGUAUUAGGGCUAGGGUUAGGGUUAGAGAUAGGGCAAGGGAACAGGUUGGAAUUCAAGUACCUUAUUAUUGCAGUUUGAGUAUGAAUGUUAGUGUUAGGUUUAGUGUUAGGGUGAGGUACAGUGUUGGAUUUCAAGUAUCAGAGCAUUUCAAUGUGACUAUGAUGAGUAGUGUUAGGGGUAGAGUUAGGUGUAGGGUUAGGUUUGGGAUAUGGUUGGAAUUCAAGUUGAUUACUGGAGUGUGAGUAUGAUGGUUAGGGGUAGGACUAGUUUUAGUGUUAGGUAUAUUUUUGGAUUUGAAGAAACUGUAAUGCAGUGUGACUAUUAUUGAUACUGUUAGCUUUAGGGUUAGGGUUUGGGUUGAGGUUAGGGUUGGGGUAAGUGAUAUUCUUGGAAUUUAAGUGCCUGUUUAUUGGUGCAUUGGUCUGAUAGUUGGUAUUAGCAUUACUUUUUGGAAUAGUGUAGGAAUUCAACUACCUGUAUGUUGGAUUGUGGAUAUAAUGGUUAAUCUCAGGGUUAAGUUUAGGGUUAGGUUUUGGGUUGAAAUUCAUAUACCUGAGUUUUGCAGUGUGGAUAUGAAUGUUAGCUUUGGGUUUGUGUUAAGGUAAGAGUUACAUAUAGUUAUGGAAAUCUGGUACUUGAAUAUUGGCAUAUGGGUAUUAUGGUUAGUGUUAGCGUCAGUGUUAGGGUUGAGGAUAGUGUUGAAAUUCAAGUACCUGAUUAUUUGAGUGUGAGCAUGAUAGUCAGGGUUAACGUUAGUGUUACAGAUUGGUAUCACGUUGGAUUUCAAUAUAUGAGCAUUCCAGUGUAGCUAUGGUUGGUAGGGUUAGGGUUAGCAUUAUUGUUAGUUUUCAGGUUAGGAAUAGUUUCAGAAUUUAAGAAUCUGUGUAUUGAAGUGUGGUUUUGAAAGUUAGUGUUAACAUUAGUUUUAGGAUUAGGAUUAAUGGUAGUGUAGAAAUAUAAGUGCCUGGAUAUUGUAUUGUGGGUAUGUGGGUUAGAGUUAGGGUUAGGGUUAGGGUUAGGGUUAGGGUUUGGUUUAGGAUUUAAAUUCAUGUACUUCCAUUUUUGAAUUUGGUUUGAUUCUUUGUGUGUGUGUGUGUGUGCGCGUGUGCAUUCAUUAUUUUACUGUCCGUUGUUUUAACUUGACUCAUACAAGAUCCACGAGAGCACUGUACUCCUGGCAAUUAUUACAUAUGUUAGAACAUGGAUUUUCACUGUAGACAACAUUUAACACCAGUCUAUGGGGUACUGCAUUGUUUUUUACAAAGUUCAAAAUAAAGAUUUAUUUUCAAACAA